rnacentral:lncRNA from 1 species
GUCCAGUCUUGCGCAAGGUCACUUCAUGCCCUUUGACACACGUACUAUAGUGGUCAGCACACAGCAUAUACUGUACAUGUAAAUAUGACCUUGCCUCAACCAGAAAAACCGUUAGGCCACAUUGCGCUAGCCUGCAUGCAGUUCAGUUCUACUACUCAUUCAAAAUGGUUAAAGACGGAGCAGGCACAAAUGUAUCGUCUUCUCGAAAAAACACUGAUUACAUGUAUUUGUAUUCAGUUCCAAAUCCGCGUCCAAAAGCAUCACACAUGUCUGUAAACAUACAGCUUAUUAGUCAGAGUUAAUAUUCCUGCAGCACCAUGGUCUUUGCGGAAUGGGAGAUAGUUUGGACAGAACCUUUCGUUUCUGGAGCCCUGUUCUUUCAAACCUACAGUUUGUUGUAGGCCUUACUGGGAGCCAUGGACACAAUGGAACAGUCAAUCGAUACGUGAGGAGAGGAGUUUUGCAACAGAGACGGGUGCGACAGUGACGGGAAAAGGCUCAGGAGACACUGGAGAAGCACGUAUAUAUAGGAACAAUCUGCAGCAAAUUAAGUGACUCGGAGUGUAAUUGUUAUAACCAUUUGAAGCACGCGAACUGGAUAUCAAAACAGUGACAUUAUUUCUGCAAGGCUUCAGUGUUACAGCUUUGGUGUUUUUCAUCUUUGAUUCGAUCAAAUUUGACCAGUACAUGAAAGUUCUGUGCUUCCCAGGACCUGUUUCCCCAGGUCUGUACAUUUCUCCAUUUUUUUGUCAAUAUUAUGAUGAUCUGAGACUGAAUGUUAAUUGCCCUGGAUUUAUCAAGCCAUUGAAGUUUCCUGUAAAUUUACUCACCGAGAUAUUGAGACGAGUUUCAUAAUUAAAACGAAUAGGCUAGCUUUACUGUUUUAGCGUGGAUUGUGGCCUAAUUAUGAAACGAGAGGCAUUAAACUCAAACCAAAACCUUCCCUCUUUUAUCCUCAACAUUCAAAUUUACAUGUAAGUUGGAUUGUGGAAAAUCAUCUAGCCAUCAAAAAAAUCUUGUAAAAAUCAAGUGUAAAAUAACUUCCACCACCAUCUUGAUAGUUUUUCAUGGUUCAAGACUUCUGCAUCUAUUUAUUUGAAAAGCCAAUUAUAAUAUUUCAUUGAUUAUGAUGAUACAUAUUUUGUAAAUAGUGUCAAAUAUAUACAACGUACAGUAUUUGCCAAAA